ensembl:lncRNA
UUUGAGUAAUAAUAACUUUUGAAUAACUUAUGGAGAACAUUGUUAAAGGUGAAAGUAUCACAGAAACAGGAACUCCAGGACAUUUAAAUAUAUCGAGAAUGAGGCUUUAUAAAGACUAUGAAGGCUAAUUUGUAUAUCAAAUAUAAACAGGGUUACUAGUGAAAACAAGGUCCAAAUAGGGUAAUUCAAAAAAGAAUAUUUAUAUCUUUUUAAAGAUCCCUCAGAAAACAAUAUUUGAAGCAAUCAGGAUAAUCUACAUAUUUCUUACAAAAAUACGUUUGUUUUACAAAGAGCAAGAUGAGCAAUUAAAAUAAAACUAAUAAGGAUGUUGUAAAUGUCUGGAGCUAAGAUUUCAGAAUUAGAGUUUGAGAUGAAGAAGCAAUUUCUUGGAUACUAAAGUUGUAGAGGUGUCAAUAUGAAUGUGUGGCUUCCUUGAAUAGUGCUCAUGUAUGCAGGGAUUGGUGUUGAUAAUGCAACUAUUAUCAUUUUUGUGAUUUGGUUUGGAAAGGACAGGAAAGGAGAGUUGUAUAAGAGACUGAGAAUGUGGUAGAGGCUUUUUCUGUCCCCAAGAUGUCUUGUCAAUUAAUUCUUUAACCACAAAUUGACGGAUGGUACAAAACAUUGGGCUAGGUAUUUUGGCAGACAUGGAAAAUACAAGUACAUAGUCCCUGGGACAAAAAGAUACAUAUUUAAAGAAAUCAAGAACAACUUAUAAAGCCUCACAAGAAUACUGACAGCACUAAAUUCUUUACAGAGAGAAGAAUUUGUGUAGUGUUGUUUUGGAAGAUUUAACAGAAGUGGUGAGAGUUGAGCUUGUUUCUGAAGGAUGAACAGGAGGUAGAGGCAGGGAGGGAUACAAUAAACUAAAUCUAGGGGCAGGACCAUAACCUCAAGACAUGCUCAAGACAGCAAAUAUGUCCUUCCAGCGAAAGGGAAUAUGUGUGUAAGGGCAAAAAGAAAAAAAAAUGAGGAUAGCUUAUAUCUAGGUGGUAAAGAAGCUUGAAGGCUAAUUUAAGAAGUUGGAUCUUCCUGUAAUCCCAGCACUUUGGGAGGCCGAGACGGGCGGAUCACGAGGUUAGGAGAUCGAGACCAUCCUGGCUAACACGGUGAAACCCCGUCUCUACUAAAAAAUACAAAAAAUUAGCUAGGUGUAGUGGCAUGCACCUGUAGUCCCAGCUACUCGGGAGGCUGAGGCAGGAGAAUCGCGUGAACUCGGGAGGCGGAGCUUGCAGUGAGCUGAGAUCCGGCCACUGCACUCCAGCCUGGGUGACAGAGCCAGACUCUGUCUCAAAAAAAAAAAAAAAAAAAAAAAAAAAAAAGAAGUUGGAUCUUAAUCAUCAAAAGAGACAAUGAAAGUUUGUAAAGUGGAUAAUCGACAUGGUAGUAAAAACAAUUUUUAAAGAAAGAUAAAAAUCAUGACUCUCCUACAAGGAAGAAAAUAAACAUUAAAGAUGAUAUUGUGACGGUGGCCUGCAGUCACCUCGCGGCCGUCCAGAAUUAAAGGCUGUCUGCAGAGAUUAGAACAAUGGCAACAAAUGAAAGUGUCAGCAUUUUUAGUUCAGUAUCCUUGGCUGUGCAGUAUGUAGAUUCAGUUUUACCUGAGAAUCCUCUGCGAGAACCAU